UUUUCAGACAUGCCUUACCUCCAGUUAUAUCUACUCCAAGAUUUUCUAAAGUGUUCUCAAUCAUUUGUGAUGAAGCUUCUCGAUCUUGUGGAGCUUAAACUGAAGGAACUUAUUAGAAGGGAACCUACUCUUCUUGUCAUGGUGGUCGGUGUUCCUAAUGUCGGAAAAUCAGCUUUAAUCAAUUCCAUCCAUCAAAUAGCAUUAUCUCGAUUUCCAGGUAAGACAUUUGCGCUGUUAGUGAUUCUGCUCUGUGCGUCUGGAGGACUACUUGGUUCUUUUGGGAUAUUGGUAGAUUACCUCAAGCACUGAUGGUUUUGACCUUUGUCUUAGUGCAGCAGAAGAUGAAGAGAGCUACAGUGGGGCCUUUUCCUGGUGUUACCCAAGAUAUUGCUGGAUAUAAGGUAAGAAAUAUUUAUACAUCUUGGAUGUCAGAUUAUGCUUUUGUUAGUUGGUCAGUGAUGGCUAAAAUUCUUUGCACUCCAUACUGUUGAACUAUAGAUGAAGAAAUUUGUACUGGAUAUAUCUUGUAAUGUUUCAUUUUCCAGUUUAUUUGUAUUAGUAGAUGCAGUGUUCCUAAAAGCCAUUGCUUCAUCAUUUAGAGCGACAAAACGAUAUGAAGCGAGAAGUUAUCACUUCAUGGGUGAAGCAGUGCACUUCAGAGAAGUGUCCACUUCAGACAAUGAUGUGUAUAGUGAUCCCAAUGAGAAGCGGUCGUUUCUUUAAAUCUCAACUCUGAAGAGUUGGACUAAAAUUAACAUUACUGUAUAUUAGAUGGUGAUAUUAGUUAUUUUAACUGCGAUUGAUUAAUAUAGUGCUGAAUUCAUAUAUGCUUGAUAUCUUUUAUAUUUAAAUUGUGAGCUUCAUUUCAAAAAGAAUGCGCUUCACUUCUAGCUUUUCACUUCAAGCUAUGUGGAUCUUACACCUUUUCUUCAGAAAGAAUUUCCAUAAAAAACAUUUCUCAAAUCAAAUGCACCAAACUGUUCACUCGUUGGAACAGUGUUCUUAUAUGCUACUAAAUCUCAAAGCUGUUUUUGAUAUUUAUGCUAGGUUAAUUGCGCUAACGCAAUUGAUGAGUGUUUGGUGGAUCGCUUUGUCUUAAAUGUGACACAAAAUAGCAUGGUGUCUUUUUCCCUAGUCCAACAUUCUCCUUUUCCCCCUUAACUUUGGAGAAUGUGCUUGUUGAAAGUAUUUUACUUAAAUUAGGACUGGUUCAAUAUUGGCAUUUACAACUGUAACAGUGAAACUUAUUGUUUUAAUUCUAUGCAGAGGUGGAUUCGGUAUUUUGAUUCAUGUAAACAAGAUUGCCUCCCAAUAAAUGCACACAGUAGAAGUUCCGUGCAAAAGGUUAGUGACAUUUUAUCCAUGACGUUUAGCUGGAAGCUUGUUGUUUCAUUGUUUUGUAUUUGUUUUAUAUGUCAAAGAUGCAGCAACUAUUAUCCAGAAAUAUAAUAUAAUGCCAGAAAGCCGCAAAUUCCUUAGUUGGCCAAGAACCACAGAACGUAGUACUGAGGUAAAAGGUGCUUUAGAUUUUCUUUUUAGUGAGCCAGAUGUAAAAGGGAUAGGGAAUAACCUUUAUCCAGGUAUAUGUUUUUUUUUCUCCAAAAUUGUCAUUCUCUAUUCUUGCUUCCUUUGAUACAAUAAUUUUCUAUUGUCACAGGAACCUUAAAGUUUCCGACUGCAACAGUUAAGAUUGAAAAGUACAUGACAAUGGUAACACAUAUAUGAAGCAUUAGAAAAUAUAGAGGAAGUCUUUAUUUAACUGUUAUCAUGCAGGCUUUGCACAGUAAAAAUCUAGCAAAAAAUAACUAGUUAAGCUGCUUCUUAGGAUAUCAAUGGCAUUAUUGCCUUAAUAUGGUUGUUGCGCUGUAAACUGUUGGCAAUCCAGCCAAAUAUUUUCCUGAUACUAAAUUUGCUAUAAGGUUUUCAGACAUGCCUUACCUCCAGUUAUAUCUACUCCAAGAUUUUCUAAAGUGUUCUCAAUCAUUUGUGAUGAAGCUUCUCGAUCUUGUGGAGCUUAAACUGAAGGAACUUAUUAGAAGGGAACCUACUCUUCUUGUCAUGGUGGUCGGUGUUCCUAAUGUCGGAAAAUCAGCUUUAAUCAAUUCCAUCCAUCAAAUAGCAUUAUCUCGAUUUCCA
rnacentral:lncRNA from 1 species